rnacentral:lncRNA from 1 species
CGAUUGGACUCUCAGUGUUGGACCUUUGCGUGGGGGUGGAGGGGGUAGGGAUUUGGGCUGACUUUCAGUCUAACUUUUGUGUGUUUUGAAUCAGAUCUUGCCUUGCUUUUGCUGCUAUCACUUCACACUUAGUAAAAGUACCUCUUCUCUAAAUCAAUGGAGUUGGGGCGGGGUUUCUUUUGAACGGAGACGGGCCUGACAGAUUAGAGACCGUUCUGGUGGCAUAUUCUACUCUCCGUGGAGAGAUUCAUGAAACUGAGAGGUUGCAUGGUGAAGAGAGACAGAGACAGAGAGAGAGAGAGAGACAGAGAGAGAGAGACAGAGAGAGAGAGACAGACAAACAGACCAGGGCAAGGCAGGGACUCACUCUGUGUUUUUUAUCUCCAAUGCAGGGAAGAAGCCACCCAUUUAGCAGCCUCUUUGCAGCGCAACUUUGGGGUGCCACAUUCUCAGCAUAAAGAUACAGGAAUGAAUCCUUCUUCUGAAUUAGGCCAGGCUCUUCAGGCCUUUCCUGCAUGCUGGAACCAGGAUAGAUUUUGGGUCUUUCAUCACUGCUUUUAUCGCUGAAUCAGUAAACUUUUUCUAUCAUGAUUGAGGAGCAGAGGAGAAAAGAAUAUAUUAUGUGUUAAGAUUUCAAAUAGGGUUUUGUAGAUAAUAGUUUAUAAUAGGUAGGUUGCAUAACACCCUUCAUGGCUUUUGCUGGUUAAUCUUAGUGGAUAGAGAUUGGAGGCUAAAGAUGUUUUAGAGACGGGUUUAGAGAGAAUGGAGUGAUGAAUAGGAUGAAGAAGUUUCUUGGUUUUACUUUAAGAGAAAUUUAUAAGUUGUUAAUUUUCAUUACACUUGUUGGGGAUGAAGAUUCACUUCUUUUUUUCCUUGUGUUGGUUUUACCUGUUUAAUAAUGUAAUCUUUGAUGAAACAACUUCUGCGAAAACAAAAAGUAUGCAUUCUGAUAUUUUUGUCAUUAAAAUCGUUGAUGCACUUUUAAUUGAUUGUGCCAGGUAUUUGACCAUAUAUUUGAUAACUAAUAAAUAAAUAUACCAAGUAUAACA